rnacentral:rRNA from 1 species
CGUAGGAGGCGAGCGUUGUCCGGAUUCAUUGGGCGUAAAGAGCACGCAGGCGGUUUGGCAAGUCGGAUGUGAAAACCAGAAGCUCAACUUCUGGCCUGCAUCCGAUACUGCCCGACUAGAGGUAGGUAGGGGAGAUCGGAAUUCCUGGUGUAGCGGUGAAAUGCGCAGAUAUCAGGAGGAACACCGGUGGCGAAGGCGGAUCUCUGGGCCUUACCUGACGCUCAGGUGCGAAAGCUAGGGGAGCGAACAGGAUUAGAUACCCUGGUAGUCCUAGCCGUAAACGUUGGGUGCUAGGUGUGGGCGGUAAUCAACCCCGUCCGUGCCGAAGCUAACGCAUUAAGCACCCCGCCUGGGGAGUACGGCCGCAAGGCUA